GCCUCCCAAAGUGCUGGGAUUGAAGGCAUGAGCCACUGCGCCCGGCCUCAAGUGUUGUGUUUUUAAUCCUGUUUUUCCCGUAAGCCCUGUGGUUCUUAUCACAUGGCUUAGCAAACUCUGGUGAUUUUUAGGCUGCAUAUGUCAGGUUAUAUAGACCCUACUGCGCCUGUGUGUUCAAAGACAAACAUGACUGCCUUGCAGGAGGACCCCAGAGAGGAGCUGCUCAGGGUGCCAUUCACCAGAGACUUUGCAGAAACCUGUGCUUCAGGGCCUUAGAGCUACAGCUCAUAGAGCCCCUGGCGAUUUAAUUCAGCUCUAAGAGCUUCAAAAAAUCAUGGAAUUCCAUGAUUCCAGAGAUCAACUGGGCACCAGCCUCUAGACACUUUAACAAUCUCUCUCUCUCUCUCUCUCUCUCUCUCUCUCUCUCUCUCUCUCUGCCAUAACUCUCUGAUGAUUCUGGGUCAGUUAACUUUUGAGCCUUGGCAUUUUUGUCUGUGAAAGGGGCACACAGAUAUUCCUUCUUCACAAGCCAGAAUAAUGAAUGAAUAAAAUAAUGUCAGAGAUGCACUGGUUCUGCUGGGUAAACAGAAGAGCAAUGUCAACAAAGAAAACAGGACCAGAAUUGUUCUUUUAGUAAGAAGAAAUGAGGAAAGUGGGGAUUCCUGGGCAAUGUGGGGCUCAGCUUGCCCACGAUGUGGCUUUUGGCACUGAAACCUGGGGGUUCCUUUCACUGAAGUCUAUGAGCUGCACCCAGAAUCUGGUGGGAUGCCUUUCACCCUUGACAUUUCAGAGCCAACCUCCCAUCCCUGAUAAUGCAGGAAUGUUCCUCUGGCUGGUGGACCUCUGCCAGCGUAAGUGAGCGUCCCAGCCACCAACAGAGUAAACAUUACUCAACUGGCUGGGGCUCUGUCACACACAUUCUUCCCCUGUGUUUCUAACCUCAUGCAGAGUGCAGCCCAGCCCUGUUGGGUCUAGAAACUGGGAAUUUAAACUCAGGCAGGAGAGAGCAUGCGAAGGAGAAAGCUCUUCCAAAAGGGACAGAGGCAGAGAGACAAAUGAUUCUGUCUGGUGAACUUCUGAGAGGCCCAUUUGGAAGAAAAGAAUGUGAACAAUUCCCUGGCUUGAAAUUGAGAACUCCAGAAAUGAAAGCUUUCGAAUGAGUUAGCAUUGCUGCCUCAGUUUCCUUGUUUGUAGCACUGGACUUUUGCUAGUUCUUAUUAAUAUUUCCUCCUCUGAGAGGAUACAGAUUCAUGUUUGCAAAGAGUUUAGAAGAUUAAAAAUCUGCAAAUGUGGAAGAAAAAGCUGAUGCAAGAUGAAAGCAAUUUAAAUGCUGGGCUGGUUUCAAUUCCGGAUCCCUUUCUACCUAACAUGGCUUAGUUAGGAGCUCAAUUCAUAAGAGGAGAAAUACAGACAGGCCUGCAGGGACAGUAAACAUUCUUGACUCAAGGAGUAAAAGUUGAGUGAUACUUAAGGGAAGCCCACAAACUGGUUUUCUUAUUUAAAAAAAAAAUCAAAGCAAAUGUAACCAAGAAAAGAAAAAAAAAUCUUUCAUCAAAAGCACCUUGGCUGAGAACAGAAGCUAACAUGCAUGGUGCACUUGAAAAAAUUGCACAUGUGGGGAGGUAGAAGACCAACAGAAACUCUGUGUGUCCUCCCCCACAAGGUCUACCUGGGCCACCACGCCUCAUCCUUACUAGAGUGGCAGUUUCUGCAGGCAAACAUCAGGCAGUUUGCAAUGAAUACUUCAGCCUGAAGAUUGCUGCUGUAGGUAAAAGGAACCAGCCUGGCACUUGAUAACUUGGGCAGUCCUCACAUCUGAGAGUAUGUUACACCCAUCUGCUUCUCAAUGUGUCACAAGCACCCAUUUGACAGAGUGGAAAACUGAGGUUCAGAGAGGACAAGGUUGUUUGCACCGCUCCUUGCUAGGGGGUCUCCCAGCAAGUCCGUGGUAUUCCAAAGCUGACCCUUCUCCCUCUUCCUCCUAAGCCCCAAAUGGGCUCCAGAUAUGUAGAGCCUCCCCAUCACGACCCACUAAUAGCUUGAAAUGAUCUUGCAGGUUUGUUUACUUGUUCCUUGGCUGCAUCCCUCACUGUAAUGUAAGCCCCAUGAGGGCAGGACCUUGUCUGUAUUCUCCAUUUUCUUCUUGGCAGAGUCAUGCUAAGCAUUCAGUAAACAUUUAUUGAAGGAGUAAAUGAUGAAUGAAUAACCUAUGCUUAAACUCUGACUGAUGACUCCACAUCACUUUCACCUUUAGACUGUUGAGUUGAGUGGUGGUGAAGUGACUGGAGUAUGUCCAUUUAUCCUCUAAAUCUCCCAGUUUUUCUUUUCUUUUUUGAGGCAAGCUCUAGCUCUGUCACCCAGGCUGGACUGUGGUGGUGCAAUCACAGCUCACUGCAGCCUUGAACUCCUGGGCUCAAGGAAUCCUC
rnacentral:lncRNA from 10 species